AUUGUAAUAAGUGAGACAUGCUAACAUCAACAUAAAUAAUUUAAUAUUUGCCAUUUGCUAUUUUAUAUUUUGAAUAAUCGCGUAAAUAGAUGCGAUAUAUUUAUGCACAGUUAUUGUUACAUACAAAUUUACUAUAUACAUAUAUAUUAUACAUACGUUUUUAUGUAUAUAAAAAAGUACUUAUGGAAAAUUAAGGAAAUUUUUAGCCUGUGAGGCAUUAGAUAAUGGACUACAACCCAAUUUGAUACCGCAGACGACCGAAGGUAGUGCCGUUGCGCCUGGAAAAUAUCCCUACAUGGCACUCAUUGGUCAUCAAGAGGAAAACGAGAAUAUCACAUUUCCAUAUAGUGGCGCCUUAAUUGAUAAACGUUUCGUGCUAACCGCUGCUCAUUGUAUAACAGACGUCGAACCUGUGAUUGUGCGACUGGGUAUUACAAACCUUGACAAUGUGGAACAUAGUAGUGGCAUGGUAGAGAAGAAAAUCAAAUAUUUAAAGUAAAAUUGUUAAGGCCAUUCAUGUGCAUCCCAACUAUACACGAGCUUCUGCUUACAAAGAUAUCGGUUUGGUAGAAUUGUAUAGUGACGUUAAUUAUUCCUCUUUCGUGUAUACCGUUUGCUUAUUUACCGCGGCAGCAAUUCCGUUAAACAAUACUGAGCUGUAUGCCACGCGUUGGGGUGUCAAUGGUCAACUAAUUGUGGGUGCAGUACGCGUACGGAUACUUCCGAUACCAUUGUGUCAAGAUGCUUAUAGUAAAUAUGUUAACCGGUUUAUUGCAGAUGGUAUUCGGACAACGCAAUUGUGUGCACAAGAUGUUAAUCAAUCGGGAGAUGAGUGUAUUAGUGCUAGUGGACCUAUGGUCAUAGUGGAAGCUGCAAGAUUAAAUAAAUACCGACUCGUCGGCAUAGAUUCCUUUGUUAUACGCUGUCAAUCCCAAGUGCCGACCGUGCUUACUAGAGUAUCCGAGUAUUAAGAUUUCAUUGAGAGUGUAGUUUGGGCGUCCUAAGGAAAAUAAGAUCAAACGUAAAUAUGUACCAAGUUUGCAUUUCUUAAGGAAUUUAG